rnacentral:rRNA from 1 species
GACGAACGCUGGCGGCGUGCUUAACACAUGCCAGUCGAACGGAAAGGCCCUGCUUUUGUGGGGUGCUCGAGUGGCGAACGGGUGAGUAACACGUGAGUAACCUGCCCUUGACUUUGGGAUAACUUCAGGAAACUGGGGCUAAUACCGGAUAGGAGCUCCUGCUGCAUGGUGGGGGUUGGAAAGUUUCGGCGGUUGGGGAUGGACUCGCGGCUUAUCAGCUUGUUGGUGGGGUAGUGGCUUACCAAGGCUUUGACGGGUAGCCGGCCUGAGAGGGUGACCGGCCACAUUGGGACUGAGGGACGGCCCAGACUCCUACGGGAGGCAGCAGUGGGGAGUAUUGCACAAUGGGCGGGAGCCUGAUGCAGCAACGCCGCGUGCGGGAUGACGGCCUUCGGGUUGUAAACCGCUUUCGCCUGUGACGAAGCGUGAGUGACGGUAAUGGGUAAAGAAGCACCGGCUAACUACGUG